CUGAAUUCGCGGGUUGGAAUGGAAAUUAGUACUAUAUUUGAUUUUGUUAAGGUAUUCUGAAUUAAUUUGAUUGGUUUAUUCAGUUUAAUUAAAUAAAAUAUUAAAGAAAUUUAGAAUAAAAAUCAGUCCAAUCGGUCAAUUUUCGAUCCAACUAAUCGAUUUAAUCCGAUUUGGAAAUGGUGGAUUUAGUAUAAACCAUCUAACCGAAAUCUUUUGAAUUAAUUAAGAACUAGUUAAAGCGACAAAAUAAUGGUAAUAAUCCG
rnacentral:lncRNA from 1 species